rnacentral:rRNA from 1 species
CAGUAGCCGCGGUAAUACGUAGGUGGCAAGCGUUGUCCGGAAUUAUUGGGCGUAAAGCGCGCGCAGGUGGUUUAAUAAGUCUGAUGUGAAAGCCCACGGCUCAACCGUGGAGGGUCAUUGGAAACUGUUAAACUUGAGUGCAGGAGAGAAAAGUGGAAUUCCUAGUGUAGCGGUGAAAUGCGUAGAGAUUGGGAGGAACACCAGUGGCGAAGGCGGCUUUUUGGCCUGUAACUGACACUGAGGCGCGAAAGCGUGGGGAGCAAACAGGAUUAGAUACCCCAGUAGUCCCUGUCUCUUAUAA